UUUAUAUUUAUAUAAUCUCACUACAGAGAAGUGUACCCAGUCAGCACAGUGAAUAUAGAGAUACUUAGCUUUAAUAAAGAACUAACAUUCAGUGCUGUAAAACAAUAACCAUACAAUUGGGUCUAUUUUUGGGAAAACAAAUUAUAGUCAAAUUUUACCUGACACAAAUAUGGUGCAACCAAUCCAUCUCUCAGCUGGUUUCUCCAUAUCUUGGUAUUUUAAUCACCUCUAGACAAUGAUUCUUUAUAGGUUCUUACAAUUUCCUGAUAAACUGCUGCAUUAAAUUGUUGAUGGCCACUUUUGUUUCUUGAUUCUUUAUUGUCACUAUCAAAACAUCUAUUUUGUAAACUUUUAUUUAAUAAACCACACCCACAAGCAUAGAGGGCCAUAUCUUCAGCUGGCGUAUAAUCCAUCCUCCCAUCUUUUAUAUUGUUUCUAAUAUAAUUUUGUUUGCAGCAACUCCUUCACAAUGAGAUACUUAUCCUGAAUUAUUUAACAUAUACUCUUAGAAAGGAAAGAAUGUGCUGUAAAUCACCACUAAUAUGAAAGUUUAUUUUUUAGUGAAUUGCAUUUUAUUUGCUUCAGUUGAACACCAUUAUUUACAGACAUACAUUAAUAAAACACAUCACAAAACAAUAAAAAUGUUAAGUUAAUAUUUAUAGGUGCAUAGUUCAUGCUCAGUUACUUUAUAUAUGUAUAUAUAAACAGUUCUCACAAUAAAUUAAUCUCGAAACAGUAAUAAUAAGAAACAAACAAACAAAAUCCUUGUAUCAGAAACAAUACCAAAUUACUGACAAUCUAGCAAUAAAACAUGUACAGCUUUAGAAAUAAGCAAUAGACACUUAGGUGGUUUAAUUUUUUUUUUUUAUACUUUUAAAACCUGAAGCCACAAUAUCCACAGCACGACAAUGGCCCUGCCACCCAGUUGUUCAUUUCAGUGGGAGGGAAUCACUGGAAUGAAAGCAGGGCGCAGACCCAGACACUCCAAUCAUUGCUGAUGGAAGACUUCAAAAUACACUGUAAAAACUAUAAAAAAAAAAAAGUUUACAACUGGGCACAUUGGAACUCAGCACUUGUACAGGACAGGACGUCUUUGUUAGCAGAUUUCAGAAGAUAGAAAGAGGGAAGAGAUUUUCAUGCUUCAGGUUCAUAAUCUUGAUACUCUUCCUAUUGAGGAGAGCAAAAAUCAAAAUUGGUAACACUUAGAAAAAUUCUACUCCCGCUGGGGUCAAUGGAAAAAAGGCCACUGAUUUUAUUUAGAACACAAUCUGGCUAUUUAUCUUUAUUUGGUUGGCAUUACUUUAGCUUGUUUUCCAAAUACCCAGUACUUAAAUGACAAGAAAAAGGUGUUUACAGAUUAAUUAGACUUCCCCUGAGGUUAACUUGCCGUUCA
rnacentral:lncRNA from 1 species